CUGGUGACCUCCAAAGUCUUUCCAAGGAAGAAAAAAAGGAAGAGAUAGAGAAGAAAAAGAAGGAGAAGGAGAGAAAAGAAGGAAAUGUUUAUAUUUCUCUUCUGAAAUCACCUGGAAUUAAUAUUGGUCUACAGAGUGAGAUGGAG